rnacentral:rRNA from 1 species
GACGACGCUGGCGGCGUGCCUAAUACAUGCAAGUCGAACGAGUGGCGGACGGGUGAGUAAUGUCUGGGAAACGGACGGAUGGAGGGGGAUAACUACUGGAAACGGUAGCUAAUACCGCAUACCAUCGGAUGUGCCCAGAUGGGAUUGGCUAGUAGGUGGGGUAACGGCUCACCUAGGCGACGAUCCCUAGCUGGUAUGAGAGGAUGGGCAGCCACACUGGAACUGAGACACGGUCCAGACUCCUACGGUAGGCAGCAGUGGGGAAUAUUGCACAAUGGGCGCAAGCCUGAUGCAGCCAUGCCGCGUGUAUGAAGAAGGCCGUCGGGUUGUAAAGUACUUUCAGCGGGGAGGCGUUACCCGCAGAAGAAGCACCGGCUAACUCCGUGCCAGCAGCCGCGGUAAUUC